GAUUUCAACUAAAAAUGUCAUCAACAACAAAUAUGUGUAACUCAUCAAGAUUCAUAACUUUUAUUUUGGUCAUUUCUUUAUCUAACAAAGUGAUAGUAACAUUGUUCAUAAAAUUCGCAUCUCUCUUAUCUGGUUUUAUAAACUAUAACACAAAUAUAUAAAUUUUGCGAACAAUAUUACUACCACUUUGUUGGAUGAAGAAUGACAAAUAUAAAAGUUAUAGAUCCUGAUGAGUUAUACAACUUUGAUGUUGAUGACUUUUUUAGUUGAAAUA
rnacentral:pre_miRNA from 1 species